AUAACCCUUCCAGUUUAAUCGUUCUCGUCUACGCACACUUCUCGUCCCGAUAUAGAAGACAAGCCACUGCCACAGCCACCGCCACCGCCACCUUGCGAAGAAGAUCAGUAUCGCUGUCAUGCCUUGGCAAGGCAACACUCACUGAGUAAGUACCGGCAAUACCAACCACUGCCUCAGACGCCAAAGAUCUUGCAAUUGGGCGGCAAUGAGGCAAAGGCAGAGUGUUGCUGUUUCAUCAGCAGCAGAAACAGACAGAACCCAAAACCCAAUUCCUUCAAAAUCAGACCCACAACAAAAGAAAGCGCAAAACUUUGAUUUUCUAGGCUCAUCGAAGAAAGUCUUUGCACUCUGCUUCGCUUUUCGAAUAGCGAAUGCUCUGUUGGUUCAAACCUAUUUCAACCCAGAUGAACACUGGCAAGCCCUUGAAGUAGCACACCGCAUCACUUUCGGGUAUGGCCAUUUGACUUGGGAGUGGGAAAAGGGGAUCCGUAGCUAUUUGCAUCCUUUGCUCUUUGCUUUGCUUUACAAACUGCUUGCAGUGUUGGGUCUUGAUACCCCAUGGUUCAUGGUCAGGGCUCCACGGCUGUUUCAGUCCUUUUUUUCUGCAUUUGGUGAUUUAUACUUGUACAAACUCUCUGUCAUCCUCUUUGGGCAUUGCGUUGCAAAGUGGGCUCUCUUUUCACAAUUGACAAAUUGGUUUAUGUUUUACUGCCUGACUCGUACGUUAUCAAAUAGUUUGGAGACUGUUCUUACCCUUGUGAGCCUGUACUACUGGCCCUGUUUGAGGCCUUCUUCCAGCAAACUUCCCAUGGAAUCAAGGAAGUGGGGUUUGAUUGUUGCCGCAUUAGCUUGUGCUAUUCGACCAACAAGUGCUAUCAUAUGGCUGUAUGUUGGACUUCUUGAGCUAUUUGUGACACGUGAUAAACUGAGAUUCAUUUUUCUGGAGGUUGCUCCUAUGGGGCUCCUGGUGCUCGGGCUUACUUUUUUAUUGGAUCGUUUGAUGUACGGCUCAUGGGUUUUAGUACCUCUUAAUUUUCUAAAGUUCAAUUUCCUUUCUGCGGGUGGAGAUUAUUAUGGGACUCACAAGUGGCACUGGUACUUCACUCAGGGAUUUACAGUCAUGAUAUUCUCCUUCUUACCAUUUUCUGUAGCUGGCAUCAUGCAGUCCAAACAUUGGAAGCUUUCUGGCCUUAUUGCAUGGGUUUUAGGACUUUAUAGUGUGCUAGGCCACAAAGAAUUCAGGUUCGUUCUGCCUGUGCUUCCUAUAGCUUUGAUAUUCUCUGGACAUUCAUUAGCUGCAUUAAGAACAACGAUUUCUGCAAAUGGUAGAGGGAAAGAAUCAUCAAAUAUCCAUAGAACAUGCCCUGCAAAAAUGCAGGUGGCCAUCUUUUUCUUGCUCGCUACCAAUAUUCCAAUGGCCCUGUAUAUGAGUUUGGUUCAUCAGAGAGGAACUGAGGAUGUUACAUACUAUCUAUCCAAAGAAGUGCUUGAUGGAAAAGUGACAAAUAUACUUUUCCUAAUGCCUUGCCACGCCACACCUUACUACGCAACCGUGCACCACAACCUUCCAAUGAGAUUCCUAGACUGCUCACCAAGAGAAGAGAAAGGAAUCCCAGAUGAAUCGGACCAUUUCAUGAUAGAUCCUGUUGGUUUUGCAUCAGAGUUUGCAAAAAAUUGGUCUUUACCCAGUCACAUUGUAUUAUUUGAUUCGGAAGAAAAACUGUUGAAGGAUUUUCUAAUCUCACAUUCUUUCAAAGAGAUAAAAAGGUUUUUCCAUGCUCACUUCAAAGUGGACCGUGAUCUUCAAGCGUCAGUUGUUGUGUAUGGUUUCACGGGCGAGUGAUUAUUGUUUAUGCAACAAACAUUACUCCAGUGCGAUGAAACUGGAAAGAAUUUAUUGACUUUAGGUCUUGACGAAUUGAGUGAAUGGCCAGAGCUUGGGGUUAUUGUGGAUGUGCGCAUCUCAGCCGAUUCCAACUUCAGAUCAUCAAUUAGUAUUCUUUGUGGAUGUAUCAGCUUGUUGUUUAGCAGAAAUGAUGAAGCAGGAAUUGUGAAUUGAUUUAUAAUUACACAAGUAGAGGACAAAUAUGCACAUGGGUGCAAUGCAACACAUUGAUUAUAGCAAUAGCUGGCAAGACUACUUUUUGUAGAAUUGAAGAUGAUAUUUCGUAAAUGAAGUAGAAACCAUGAGCAUAUGGUUAAUGGUUGUGGCCCAUGUCUUGUAACGUUGAUAGUCGUCUUCCAUGUCUAGCUUGAAUGUACCCCUACUCGUUGUUAAUACGAUAAGAUAACCCGUGCCAUUCUCAUCUGCUGCCUCUGAAUCUUUGUACAGCUCCGCAUGCAUGUCCAGUAUGGUACCUAAGACAACACACACUGAUUAGUUGUCCCUUUUCACCACGUUUGGUGGCU